GCUGCGAUGGCCGAGUGGUUAAGGCGUUGGACUUGAAAUCCCUGCGCAGGUUCGAAUCCUGCUCGCAGCG